AGUGAACGCUGGCGGUAGGCCUAACACAUGCGAGUCGAACGGCAGCACAGUAAGAGCUUGCUCUUACGGGUGGCGAGUGGCGGACGGGUGAGGAAUACAUCGGAAUCUACUUUUUCGUGGGGGAUAACGUAGGGAAACUUACGCUAAUACCGCAUACGACCUACGGGUGAAAGCAGGGGAUCUUCGGACCUUGCGCGAUUGAAUGAGCCGAUGUCGGAUUAGCUAGUUGGCGGGGUAAAGGCCCACCAAGGCGACGAUCCGUAGCUGGUCUGAGAGGAUGAUCAGCCACACUGGAACUGAGACACGGUCCAGACUCCUACGGGAGUCAGCAGUGUGGAAUAUUGGACAAUGGUCGCAAGCCUGAUCCAGCCAUACCGCGUGGGUGAAGAAGGCCUUCGGGUUGUAAAGCCCUUUUGUUGGGAAAGAAAAGCAGCAGGUUAAUACCCCGCUGUUCUGACGGUACCCAAAGAAUAAGCACCGGCUAACUUCGUG
rnacentral:rRNA from 1 species